rnacentral:lncRNA from 1 species
CUGCUAUUCCUUCCCGAAGUGUCGCCGGAUUCCUGUUGGUGGUUUCCUGUUUGGUGGCUGUGUGUGUGAACCUCGCUCCGAUUGAUUGCGUGUAUCGCCGGAUUCCUGACCGUUGGAUUCCUGUUUGGUGAUACACUGUGGAUUUUGGUGGCUGUGCAAAGCGAGACUUGAGUGCCGAUUAGUUCUCCCUGUUUCCCUGAGCCUUGAUCAUUGAGCUGCCGGAAGAAGCCGAGUCUACUUUGGGAAAAUCUGAGCCAAAGUGUCCCGAGGACACAUUUUCCCACUUGAAUCUCCUCUGGACUUUCUCACUGUUCUGUUUUUCUUUCGUUUCUUUCCUUGAACUGUUGACUUGCUUUGUUUUCUGGUGAUUUGCAGGUUCACGCAGGUAGUAGAAGAAGCUGGA